ACCUCCACCUCCCAGGUUCAAGCAAUUCUUCUGCCUCAGACUCCCGUGUAGCUGGGACUACAGUUUAGAGUAAAUGGAUGUGAAAAACUCCACAAAAAUCACUAGACAGAAAUCUAAACACAUGAAGGAUGUCAGAUUGUAUAAUGAGGAAACCAGUUCUCAUUUUCACCAAGACUGCCCAAAUUUAAUACGUGUGCUUCAAGCUUCAGUAUCCUUCUAAGUAAUAGGCUGCUAUGUGUCUUACUUUUUUGUUUGUCAAAUGGGGGCAAGGGCAUUGUGAAACUUAUAAUUUCGUUCUGCUCAACUGACUGUAAUAAUAUUAAUUGAAAUGGCUACAAUUUACUGUGAUAUUAAAAGUUGGAAUUUUCUACUGUUUCUAAUAUGCUUUUAAAGAUAUUUUCAGAGUUAUUGGAAUUAUUAGAGGUAGCAACCAAAGAUACUUUCACAGACUACUUCUAACAAAUUAGCAAAUUCUAUUCAUAAUCAAGACAUAAAUAGCAUAAUAAAAUGUAUAGCUAGGUCUAGGCCUAUAAAGGGUUUUUUUUCCUCCAAAACAUCAGUUCAAA
rnacentral:lncRNA from 10 species